AGCAGCCGCGGUAAUUCCAGCUCCAAUAGCGUAUAUUAAAGUUGUUGCAGUUAAAAAGCUCGUAGUUGAAUUUCGGGGUUAGUAGGCUGGUCAUGCCUCUGGUAUGUACUGGUCUCACUGAUUCCUCCUUCCUGAUGAGCCGUAAUGCCAUUAAUUUGGUGUUGCGGGGAAUUUGGACUGUUACUUUGAAAAAGUUAGAGUGUUUAAAGCAAGCUAACGCUUGAAUACAUUAGCAUGGAGUAAUGAAAUAGGACGUUCGAUCCUAUUUUGUUGGUUUCUAGGAUUGACGUAAUGAUUAAUAGGGAUAGUUGGGGGCAUUAGUAUUCAAUUGUCAGAGGUGAAAUUCUUGGAUUUAUUGAAGACUAACUACUGCGAAAGCAUUUGCCAAGGAUGUUUUCAUUAAUCAAGAACGAAAGUUAGGGGAUCGAAGACGAUCAGAUACCGUCGUAGUCUUAACCAUAAACUAUGCCGACUAGGGAUCGGAUGAUGUUAAUUUUUUAAUGACUCA
rnacentral:rRNA from 1 species